AGCAGCCGCGGUAAUUCCAGCUCCAAUAGCGUAUAUUAAAGUUGUUGCAGUUAAAAAGCUCGUAGUUGAAUUUCGAGAUCGGUUUAUUGGUCGUGCUAUUGUACGUACUGGUAUUACUGGUUUCUCCUUUCUGACGAACCUUAAUGCCAUUAAUUUGGUGUUUUGGGAAAUCAGGACUGUUACUUUGAAAAAUUAGAGUGUUUAAAGCAGGCUCACGCUUGAAUACAUUAGCAUGGAAUAACGGAAUAGGACGUUUGAUUCUAUUUUGUUGGUUUCUAGGAUUGACGUAAUGAUUAAUAGGGAUAGUUGGGGGCAUUAGUAUUCAAUUGUCAGAGGUGAAAUUCUUGGAUUUAUUGAAGACUAACUACUGCGAAAGCAUUUGCCAAGGAUGUUUUCAUUAAUCAAGAACGAAAGUUAGGGGAUCGAAGACGAUCAGAUACCGUCGUAGUCUUAACCAUAAAUUAUGCCGACUAGGGAUCGGAUGAUGUUAAUUUUUAAUGACUCAUUCGGCGCCUUACGG
rnacentral:rRNA from 1 species